UGCCAUCUUUUUGUGAUCAGUCUUUGCAACUUUCUGGUCGUGUUUGAUAAAGUUGUCCAAAAAGUCUUUGCUCGUGAAAUUCUACAGUCCAAUCUCGCUCUCUGGCCAAACAGCAGUUUUCACUAUAGGUCUCAAUUAUGUUCAUAGAUGCCAUUGGUGAUGACCAAGUAAGGAGGAAAUGAAGCGGAAGAUGAAGAAGGUGGUAUUCGCGCCAUUUUCCUUAUUUCCUAGUUGGUAAUGCAAUUUGUCGUUUGCCUCAACUGAGUUGACAGCAAAAUGUGCUGAAAAUCUCAGAAAAUUGGAAGAGAAUGUCUUCAAAGUUCGAACAUAACAGAAGGAUUGGUGAGGAUUGCAACUACAACUGCUACCGGGAGCAGAAGAUGACGUAGUGGUGUCAGGAGGAAGGGGGGAAAUAGUAGCUACUCGAGGACAUCGAGUAUAAACCUGGAGAGUCCUUCUCAUGUGAACUCCGGUGCUGCCUCCUCUGUGGUAUACUGGGGUUUGUACCAAUAAAUUGUCGAUACUCCUUGCAAUAACCGUCGACGAUCGUGGUGUACAUGAUCACAUCUAGCUCCCAGCCUGUGUCUUCCAAAUUCUUCAGCAAUCGAACAGCUUUCCUAGUAUUGCCGGUUCUGCACAAUCCCUCACUAUGGCUCCACACGUGGUUAUAUCUACCUUGAUUCGUCUGGCCAACAUUUCAUCUGCCAAGCUCAAGGCUUCGGCAAUUCCACCCUCUCCAACAAAGCCCAUUUGAUCAAAGUGUUGAAGAAAUACUCCAUCGAUUCAUUCUCAUUAGUUUCACCAAUUUUGUGGUCUGAUGAGAUGUUUCUCCCAAACAGGUGGCAAUUGAAGAGAGAGGUGGUCAAUAUGCAAAAUUACGAUCUUAUACUGUUGUGAAAACAACUAAGAAAUCCACAUCUGAAACCAAAUCCUAUUGGAUCGAAAUCUCACACGGCAACGAUGGCGAACACCGGUGAAGUUGAAGUAUAACCUGUCAAAAUGAACAUGUCUACUCAUUGUCUGCAUAGAACAUACUUUU